rnacentral:rRNA from 1 species
UACGUAGGGUGCGAGCAUUAAUCGGAAUUACUGGGCGUAAAGCGUGCGCAGGCGGUUUUGUAAGCCAGAUGUGAAAUCCCCGGGCUUAACCUGGGAAUGGCAUUUGGGACUGCAAGGCUCGAGUGCGGCAGAGGAGACUGGAAUUCCUGGUGUAGCAGUGAAAUGCGUAGAUAUCAGGAGGAACACCGAUGGCGAAGGCAGGUCUCUGGGCUGACACUGACGCUCAUGCACGAAAGCGUGGGGAGCAAACAGG